GAUGCUUAUACCUCAACCUGUCUAUUUAAUGAAUAUGUCAUGGGAGCUCUUUCUGGAAAGACAGUCUUGCUUGUGACUCAUCAAGUAGAUUUCCUUCCUACAUUUGAUUCAAUAUUGCUAAUGUCUGAAGGAAACAUCAUACAGUCAGCUUCUUUUGAUCAGUUGCUUCUUUCUUGUGAAGAGUUUCAAAACCUCAUUCAUGCACAUGAUGAGGCGAUUAAAAGUGAG
rnacentral:misc_RNA from 1 species